GUAUAUGAGGUGAUUAAUUGGAGGGCAAAUCGAGUGCCAGCAGCCGCGGUAAUACUUGUUCCAAGAGUGUGUAUGAUGAUUGAUGCAGUUAAAAAGUCCGUAGUUUAUUAUUAAGAAGCAAUAUGAGGUGUACUGUAUAGUUGGGAAAGAGAUGAAUUGUGACGUCCCUGACUGGACGAACUGAAGCGAAAGCUGUACACUUGUAUGUAUUUUUUGAACAAGGACGUAAGCUGGAGGAUCGAAGAUGAUUAGAUACCAUUGUAGUUCCAGCAGUAAACUAUGCCGACGAUGUGAUAUGAGAUGUUGUAUUACAUUAUAGAAAUUAGAGUUUUUGGCUCUGGGGAUAGUAUGAUCGCAAGAUUGAAAAUUAAAGAAAUUGACGGAAGAAUACCACAAGGAGUGGAUUGUGCGGCUUAAUUUGGCUCAACGCGAGGUAACUUACCAAUAUUUUAUUGUUCGGCGAGGAUAUGAUCUGAGG
rnacentral:rRNA from 1 species